UCAUUUCCUUCCCUCUCCCAUUUCUUCUUCGUUACUUUUCUUUAUCGCUGCUAGGUUUCUUCCAUCUCCCACCCCUUCUUUUCUUCCCUCUCCACAACGCAGCUAGGUUCUUCCCUUUCCGUAGCAAGCAAGGAGUGGCUCAAAGGUAACCCUAUUUCUCAUUUCUUCCCUUUCGGCAACAUCGUGCACAGCCUCGUCAGGCUACGAGCAGCCAUUUUACAAGUGACCGCACUCGAGGGGGUUGCAACCUCGCUAGGCCGUUGGUUCGCUAGCAGCAUAUUUGCGAACGGUUACAUGUGAAAGGGUUGAUGCCUCACCAGCUAGCCCGUUCACAAACAGGCACAUACGAGGGGGUCAAUACCGGGCAGUGACCUAUAGCGAGCACUGAGUCGAAGCGAUCGGUCUUUACUUUCUCGACAUUCAUCUUCUCUCAGGUUUGUGUCCUAAUCCUCGAUCGGCCCAUUCCUCCUUUUCAAUUCUUCCCCUCAUGGCACGGUCUCGCAGCGCUCUUGCUGGAGCACGUCCGAAGGAUCUGUUGCGAGCACUGCAUCCUUCUCAUUUUCUAACUAUUUUCCUUGUUUGUUGGUUGACACAUGUUCCCCUCCCCUUUUCAAUUUCUCCUCUCACGGCAAAGUUGUGAUGGUGGGUGUUGGUCUUGACGCUUGUUGUCAUGCGCUCAUGCUGGUGCACAUCUGAAGGAUCAAUUUUCUUCUUCGGGCGUGUUCUUCCAAGAUCUGAAAUUGUUGAAGAAGGUAUGAUGUUCAGUUUUGUUUUGUUUUGUUUAUCUCCUUGGCUUUGGAAAUGUUUGAGUAAUUAAAUUGUGCUAUAGAAGACAUGAAUGGAAGAAUGAGAAUGAAAUAAAUCAGUUUGCAUGCAAUGCCAGUAGAUUUACCACCAAUAAGCACAUCUCCCAUGUUAAACUGUCAAUUCAAUUUUAUAUAAAGGAGUGUGAAAAGGCAUUGGUUUUGGAUCCUGCUUUCAGGCGCGCACACCAGAGGUUGGCAUCGUUGCUUAUAAGGUUAUAUCACUUUAAAAAUGUUUCAUUCUUUCUAAUUCAAGUUUGCAAAUUGAUUGCUACUGGUCCUAGUGUUAUGCUGAGAUAUUGAUAUUGCUUAAUUGCAAAUGAUUCAUGUCCUUGGAGCCAGUCACCCAUUAUUGUUAUUAAUUAUAAUGUGUAAUUUGUUUAUGAAUGCUUCUAUUACAUAAUUAAUAGGUAUAAUCGAAGAACUAUCUCAAUUUUAUCAAACUCUAUUUUGAUUGAUGAGGUUGCAUUUUUUUUAUGGUAGAGUUGUCUUAUGAUUUUUGCGUUGUUUAUAUUAGUUAUUCAAAGUUGCAACAUCAAUCCUUGGUCCUUACUACAAUCAUUUUGCCUGAUCACAAUUCUGAAUUGUAAAAGAGAUCUUUUUGUAGAAUUGUCAAGCAUUAAGCAGCUUUAAACAAAUUAUUACACAUAUAUUUGUCUUACAUUCUUCUGUUUUAACUCACAAUAUUUGUAGAUAGCCUUGGAGUGUCAUUAAUUGUAGUAAUUAAAAUAUAUCCUUGUGUUGCUCAAUAAGAAAAGAAAAAAAUAACAUUGUUAUUGCCAUAUAUUAAUGUUGCUCCGUAUGUACUUAUGAUUAAUUGAAUUCCAGAGAUACAAUCAAGUGUCUGUUUUGUUUACUAUUAUUAGUAGACCACACUGCAACAAAUAUUGUGAUCAGAAAUAAAUAAUAACACAUGAAGUUCUUUAUCAUGUUAUAUGAACUCAAGAACUUGAGAAGAAAAAGAAAUUGUUGUUUUUUAUGCUUAGUUUGUUUUAGCUUUUAAAUUUCAUUAUUCUUUCUUUUGACUCCUUGUGAUAAAUGAUGUUGAUGAGUAAAUCUUAUACUGAAAUAUGCAUUCUUCUGAAUAAACUGUUUAUUUUGUUCGACAACUUAGGUUAAGUUGAGAAUGCUAGGAAACAUCUCUUGUUGGCUGGCCUACAGCCUGAUUCUAUUGAAUUUAGGGAGCUUCAAGCAGUGGAAAGACAUUUGGACAUGUGUGCAGAAGUCUGGAAGGUUGUAGAUUGGAAGAGUGCCCUUAAGGAGUGUGAUACUGCCUUCAUUGAAGGAGCAAAUGCUUCUUCGUUUGUAAAUUCAUACUAGCACUUAAUCUCAUUAGUUUGGAUGUCUUGUUAAUGUUAUUAUAAGAGAAUACAAUAAUGUAUUCUUAUAAUGCCCACAAUUGCAGGUAAUGGUUUCAAAAUCUGAAGCAUAACUUUGACUUCAUCAAUUUGAAGAGGCUGAUAUGGUCAUAUCCAAUGUAUUUAAACUUGAUAGUGUAAAUUCACCAUCCUAAAAUACUAAGUUUUUUGGUAUACUGGCAAAUUCAUACUUGUAUGCUGUCAGUGUCCAAGUGGACAUGGCUCGAGGAAGGUUUGAAAAUGUCUUCACAAAAAGCAAAGCAGAUUUAUCCUAGAAAUGUGGAGAUAUAUACAUUAAUGAACAACACGAGCUAUAUCUCGAGCACGAGCAUUAGAUAGUGCGAAAAGGCUGUUGAGGAUUGCAACAAAGCUCUUAGUAUUUGAGCCAACUACAUGAAAGCCCUUUUUAGUUGUGCUACCUUAUAUUCAAAGGUGAUAUGAUUUCCUUCUAAAAUUUAAUAUUUUGAGUAUAGUGUAUAACUAGUUUUGGAUGUAAAAGACUCGUCAUUAAUUUGCAUUUGUAACUUUGACCCAAAUAUUUAUUGGAUGAAUUUAGAUGAUCUACUUGCA